GCCAGGCAUGGUGGUGCACACCUGUAAUCCCAGCAGCUCGGGAGGCUGAGGCAGGAGGAUGGAGAGUUCAAAGUCACCUCAACAAUGGUGAGGCACUAAGCAACUCAGAGAGAGACCCUGUCUCUAAAUAAAAUACAAAAUAGGGCUGGGGGUGCUGCUCAGUGGUUGAGUGCCCCUGAGUUCAAUCCCUGGUACCUACCUCCU
rnacentral:sRNA from 1 species